rnacentral:rRNA from 1 species
GUGGAUUAGAUACCCGGGUAGUCCACGCCCUAAACGAUGUCAACUAGUUGUCGGGUCUUCAUUGACUUGGUAACGAAGCUAACGCGUGAAGUUGACCGCCUGGGGAGUACGGUCGCAAGAUUAAAACUCAAAGGAAUUGACGGGGACCCGCACAAGCGGUGGAUGAUGUGGAUUAAUUCGAUGCAACGCGAAAAACCUUACCUACCCUUGACAUGUACGGAACCUUGCUGAGAGGUGAGGGUGCCCGAAAGGGAGCCGUAACACAGGUGCUGCACGGCUGUCGACAACU